rnacentral:rRNA from 1 species
GUAGGGUGGCAAGCGUUGUCCGGAAUUAUUGGGCGUAAAGCGCGCGCAGGGCGGUCCUUUAAGUCUGGGUGUGAAAGCCCACGGGCUCAACCGUGGAGGGUCAUUGGAAACUGGGGGACUUGAGUACAGAAGAGGAAAGCGGAAUUCCAAGUGUAGCGGUGAAAUGCGUAGAGAUUUGGAGGAACACCAGUGGCGAAGGCGGCUUUCUGGUCUGUAACUGACGCUGAGGCGCGAAAGCGUGGGGAGCAAACAGGAUUAGAUACCCUGGUAGUCCACGCCGUAAACGAUGAGUGCUAAGUGUUAGGGGGUUUCCGCCCCUUAGUGCUGCAGCUAACGCAUUAAGCACUCCGCCUGGGGAGUACGGCCGCAAAGGCUG